UGUGCGUGUCGCGGUGACGACGACCACGUAGUGGUAGCAAUGGUAGUAACAUCAACGCGAUUAUUAUUCAUUAUCAGCCAACAAAAGCAGCUGCACACCGACGCGACGCGUCAGUUACUUAAAAGUCGUCCAUUCGAUUUGUCGGUAUUUGCAAUUUCGUAGGUGAGCGGACUCACUCAAUAUUUGGCGGAUUACGCGACGCGUUUUAAUGUUUAACGGCUUCUCAUGACAAACUUGGUGUUCGUGCAAACGAAAACAGCAAAGCUGGGCAAGUGAUAAAGGCAAAUUAAAACUUGAUAUUUGAUUCAUGGCAAAGCGGCAAACAGUUGUUAGGGGAGCGUCGUUUUUAAACUGGAUUUAGUGUUAGCCAAAAAUAAACGAGGAAUAUUGAAUUGAAUUGUGUUGUGUUAGUACAUUUGUAGGCUUCAGUGGGUAGAUUUAAAAAUUAGCUGGCAAAAAGUGGUUUUGGAUUGAAACAUAUUUUAAAACGAAUUUGGAUAAAAAGUUUUGUGUGCUGAAAUCUGCAUAAUUGCUGUUGUUGUUUAUUUAUCUAAUCUUAUCAAUGCGUUUUCACAAGCCUUCGCCAGCGUGAGUGUCAAUAAGUGUAAAUAAAUAACUGUAUGCACACCCACAUACACGCACGCAAUAUUCGAAAAUUUAUUUCGGCGCUACUACCGCUACUACCGCUGCCGACUUCUUAGGCUUUGCCGUGUGUUUGUGAACGAGUGCUCCAUGGCGUAUGAAUGCGUAAAUUCUUAAAGAGGAAAACAUACAAUACAUACCUACAUAAAUACGACUUUAUUAGUGUUUACAAAUGUAUGUAGAUAAACAAGUUGCGUGAAUUCUGUUUAUUGAGCUGAAAAUUAUUACAAGAACACAAAAAAGAAGAAUAAAACCAAUCAACUGCAUGCUUUUGAAACAGCGCCUCCAACAGCUAUAAAAAGUUUCAAUACCGCAGAGGUGGAUAAGGAGACCCUGGACAUUGUUAGUUUUGGUGAUGACCUUAGUAGGUGUACCAACAA